UACGUAGGGUGCGAGCGUUGUCCGGAAUUAUUGGGCGUAAAGCGCACGUAGGCGGUUCGUUAUGUCGGAUGUGAAAGCCCUCGGCUUAACCGAGGAAGUGCAUCCGAAACUGGCGGGCUUGAGUACGGAAGAGGGUCUCGGAAUUCCCGGUGUAGAGGUGAAAUUCGUAGAUAUCGGGAGGAACACCAGUGGCGAAGGCGGAGACCUGGGCCGAUACUGACGCUGAGGUGCGAAAGCGUGGGGAGCAAACAGG
rnacentral:rRNA from 1 species